GGCCUGUGUAGUGGUAGCACGCGUCUAUUGUAAGGAUGAACGCGGGUUCAACUCCCGCUUAAGGCCG